rnacentral:lncRNA from 1 species
UUAGUUUGGCUUCAACUUGACAAUAUUUUUAGUUAUUGGGUCGUCAAAUAUGGGACCAUUACUCCCAUUUCCUUCCAAGAAGACAACCAAUAGCGACAGAUGAGAGAAUAUCAGAUAUGACACCAAUCUAGAUCAUUAGAGCACAAAAGGUCUAAAAGAAAUGUUGGCAUUGUGCAUUAAACAUAAAAAAAAGAUUUAUAGAAAUUUAAGGAAAAAUAGAAGACUGGGGUGAGAGAGAGAAAGAGAGAGAGAUUUUAAUGCAAACAAAGAAAGAGCUCACUUUAGAUGGUGAGUGAAAGAUAGCUCAAUAUAUUCUAAAAGAACAUUGAGAUAGCAUAAAGUAAACUAAAAGCAAACACAUGCACUCACACAACAUGCUAAUCACUAUCAUAACCACUAGAUUAAUGCAUACAAAGAAGGAGCUCACUUUAGAUACUAAGUGAAAGAUAGCUCAAUACAUUCUAAAAGAAUAUUGAGAGAGCAUAAAAUACACUAAAAGAAAGCACACACACACAGAGCUAUGCUAAUCACUAUCAUAACCACUAGAUAGUAAAAUAUAGUUUUUCGGGCUGCAUCAAAUCAAACUGUACAGUAUUGGUGAUGAUCCUAGAUGGGCUACCUGAUUGCCGGCCCAUAAACAUUCUUACAUGAAUUUAUUUAUUCAUAUACAUAAAUUUUCAUUCCAAGAUUACAAAACCAAACAAUUAUGGCACUCCAGAGACAAACUGUUCUGGCACAAAAUUUGUUCUUUUCAAUCCCAAUUCUAAUAAAUUACAUCAAAACAGGGCAAUAUAGAAGCCUGCAAUUGAAUCAAAUCUACCACAAAAGCCAUCCACAGUUACUUCUUGGUUCUUUUUUACUCUCCUUGCAAUCAGCUGACAAACCAACAUUGCCUCACCUCCCCCAAGGGAAACAUGACCAAGUCUAACGGGUGAUAGCAGAAAAACAAAGUUAUUUCUUUUGAGGGAAAAAUUACUUCAGCAGGCGUCACAUAACAUCAUUCAUAUAAUAAUAUCAAACACAAGGCAUAAGAUAGACCAUUAAACUAUGAUGAUAAAACAAAAAGCCAAAAUAUAACAAUAAAAUCUCCAUAUAAGUUAUGCUUUAGCAAAUAAAUCUUUUCAGGAGUAUUUUUGCAAUAACAUCAUUGAAUUAUCAGUCGCAUCCUCAUCAACAUUUCUAUUAAGUGAAAGCCAACUUCAUUAAAGUGUGCCAUUUCAAAACUUUUUUGAUUUGGCAGCAUGAGUUCAUCACUAUUUUCCAUAUGUAAUGGAUCAAAUAGCUUUAGUGCCAUUUCAGUCAGAUGAAAAUUUAUCUAUAGAAAAUAGUGUAGACACAUCAUUUGCACUUUGUUUUUACAUGAGGUGGUUGUUUUAUCACCCUCAUGUCAUGUAAACAUCCAUUUAAUGUGUUCUUUUUCUUUUGACACCUUUUUAAAUGAGGUGUUACAAAGGUUUGCCUCUCCCUCUCAUUUUAAUCGAAUUCUCUCUACCACUAAGGCCCUUUACGGGCUCAAUUAAAGUAAGGGGCCUUUCUGUUAGCGGGAAGCCUUACAGUGAACUCUUUCUCUUUCUCUCUCUAAGUUCAUAGGCUAUCUCCCUCACUAAUUUUGAUAGAAGUUAUGGAUGAUUUUCUCUCAAUGAACUAGAUUACUAUCUUGUGACAUCACGAAGUGAGUGAUUGAUUUUGUUAAAUGUACGAUUUUGUUUUGCUCUCUAAGUGCUUUGUUGCCAUUCGGUAAGUUUUUUGAAUUUAACAUAAUUUAUAUAAUAUUUUUCCAUGUGUUAUGUACCCAAUCGAUAUUUGUAUUUUACCGAUUGGAAGAAUAAUUUUUUAGUAAGAGAGAUGCUGCUCCCCAUCGAUGUUUCAUUGUAGUAUACCGAUUGGAAAAUAGACUUUGUAUUAAGAGAUAGAAGUUUGUCAUCGUAAUCGAUGUUUAUAUUAUCCUGAUUGGAUGAUGAACUUUGUAGCGAGAGAGAGAGUUUGUCAUCCUAAUCAUUGUUUGUAUUAUAUCGAUGGGAUGAUGAUUUUUGUAGUAAGAGAUAAAUUUGUUUCUAAAUUGAUGUCUGUAAUAUCAUAUCAAGUGGAAAGACGUAUCAUUAUUUUUGUGAUUGUGGUUUAUAUGGGUCUUAUGAGUGUGCAACUCAAAGACUCAAGAUUUGUAUUCCGAUCUGGCUAUAUCCUGAGAGUGUAAUCGUCGGGAUCUUUUUACACCUCGAAAUUUUAUCGAGACGGGAGCGCUUAGCACUUCAAAAAAAAAGAUAGCAUCUCAUGCCUCUAGAUCCCCUAUUUUGGUCCCAAUUAUGUGGGAGUUUAUGUCCAUAUGUUUUGUCAGCCACGGUGAAACCCCAUACAACCAACAAUUAGAGGGAGAGAGAGAGUAAACGUUACUUUCAUGUUAUUAGCGAGAGAGAGUGAGCCCGCUCUUUCUAAUGUGUGUGUGAGAGAGAGAGGGAGAGAGAGAGGGCGGAGAGAGAGUCUCUAAUAGGAAUAUUUUAUGGUCAUUAGGAGGGGUGUGAUAUCUAACUGCCACCCAAAGAUUCUUAGUAAAAAAGAUAAGGAUGUCUGACUACUUGUUUAAAAUUUUGCUGGCAUAUUAGAAUAAUACAAGCAAAUAUCAAUGAUUUAUCACAUACUUUUAGAUGUAGAACUUAUGAAAACUUGAAUAUCUUGAAAAUUGAGUCCAAAAAUGCGUUACAAGAUGCACUAUUUUCAAAACUUGAAAUCUAUUUUUUCUCAUGUGCAUGCAUCUUGAUGUCGAGAUGAUCAAUUUGAAGAUAUUUGGGCAUCAAAACAACCUCUUCUCAUUAAAGUUUUGAGGUGAACUCUAAUUUGAUUGUUUAGAGCCUCGGCUUUAUAUAAACAUUUUCCGUAUAUAUAUAUCAAGGUUUAAAAAAUUGGAUUGGUGACCUGGAUCGUCCUUACCUAUGCCCUUAUUUGAUCAGAGAAUCGGCCGAAUCAGCAAGUUUUAUCCCAAAAAGUUUUCAAAAAAU